CUCAUGGCGGUGAGAAGUGACCGUCAGGGGACAGCAGGCACAACCUGACCACUACCGGCACACUUUAGCUUAGAUUUAACAUUAAAAACUGUGUUUCAAAUAUAAAAAGUUACAAAUAUUUGACUAAAUGUUGUCAAAAAUGACUCGAAAAAACAUGUUUUUGUAAGGUUUUGAUCUAAAUGUGAAAAAUGUUCCUGUUCAUUUCAGCAUGUUUCAGUUUACAGACGGCGCCCCAUACGACGAGGCCCUCAGAGGUCAGGAAGGAACAUCUCCAGACUUUGAGGGAUCAAAACUGUUUUGGCAGCACAAAGCUGUGCACGACAAGCUCUGAUACAUACUGGAUAAUCAGCGAAACGUUUGUUUUCAUAGUCUGAGUAAAAACAGGUGUCAGAGGCCAGGACUACACUGGAAAGGUCUAAAUGGUUUACUGGUACUAAAAUGAUCAGGGGUAAAGUUUGGUAUCAUCUGUGGUUAACAGCAGUGAAAAUAUACCUGAGGUUAUACUGAUGAUCUGUAUGUGCUGGUUAUGUUUUCCUGUACACACUCCAGCAUGAAGAGUUUCUGGGAGAGCUGCCUGAACGUUCCCCUGAUGUCUCAGCACCAUGAGGAUAAUGACAACCUGUUUCUACUGGUCACAUCCUUAUUCCCUCCUCUCUGACUGCAAAUCGAAUUCCUCUUGAUGACUGCAGCGGGCCUGCUACGCUCUGGCUCAGAGCCAGGCCUGUCUGCAUUUCACCGAUGGACUCGCACAGCAAUUUGCCUGAACAAACUUAUCCCAGCUGUACGGCUAAACCUCUGGAAAAGGCAUCACUGCGACAAUUUCAGGCAUGUUUGACUUUUCAAAUGGAUUUUCAGAGAUGUUCCUUCCUGUAGCUGCUGUUAUUUGAGUCAAAAUAAAAAUAGA